ensembl:snRNA U1 U1 spliceosomal RNA
AUACUUACCUGGCAGGGGAGAGACUAUGAUCACGAAGGUGGUUUUCCCAAGGUGAGGCUUAUCCAUUGCACUCCAGAUGUGCUGACCCCUGCGAUUUCCCCAAAUGUGGGAAACUCGACUGCAUAAUUUGUGGUAGUGGGGGACUGCCUUCACGCUUUCCCCUG